UCGAUUGCAAGUUUGUUAAAUAGUGUUAGCUUGACAAAUACAUUUUCCAAGUAUUUCUUUGUUUGUAUAUCACUGAUGUUGAACACGCGAGUAUCUGCAUAGACGAUAUGUAUUACUACUAUGGUCAGCCACACGAGUCAUUCAAACGCAACACUCUUCUUCGUAAAAGUGAAAUCUUUGAGGCGUUAUAAAGCCUCUUCGUUCCUUGCCUGUUGUUGUAUCGUGGAGUGAAGCGCCUUUCUCUCACUCUGUGUGAGACUUAAGUUUCGCUGAAAGGACGUACUGGAAGUUUUCAGAAAGUUGCAUUCACUUAAUUGGAGUCUUUCGACUGUAAGCCGCCGAGCAACGACAUGUCAACCCUUUCUUUUCUUUCGACGGCCAUCAAGCACUGGUGCGAGAAUUAAGGUUAAAAAAUUUAUUCGAAUACUUACACGCGGCGGACCGAAGUUUUCAUACUAGAGAUUCUUUUUGUACGCCGUGUUUGUAUGACUUGCCAUGUGAGCGAGGUCGCACAGAGCCCCUUAGUUUUAGCCCCGUCGUCUUCUGUUUGCUCCGUCACGUGAUUUUAGCGUCGGAAAUAUGAAAAUCGCAGCCUAUCUGGUACAUUUGCAAAAGCUUAAUGCGAGCGGCUCUCAAAAGAGCCACUACAACAGGAAAUAUUGCCCUCGAAUGAAGGAAUUGCGUCUCCAAACUCACGGGAACAUGACAUGGCUGAACAGGAACAACCUGCUAGUGUCUGACGAUGAUGGGAGCAAAUCAACAGCUGCGGGCGGUCGCUCAUAAGGAACGUAACGUUUUAGUUAGAAGUGGAACAUCAAUAAUUGAUCAUCGGAGGCCGACGAAAUGACAAUACACGAUUUUAGAAGCCCUGGUGAAGCGGUGGACUGUCCAUGUUUAGGGUAUGAAAACGGAAUUUAAGUUAGCCAUAUUACCGUGUGGUCAUUAAAAAGCUAGUUAAGUUGGCCCCCUAGCAAAACGAAAGUAUAAUAUUUUUAAAUUUCUCAAACACGACGAAUUCUAAAAAAUUGUUGGACAAAUCUUCACGGCGAGAUUAGUAAGCUACUGUUCGAAAUGAAACUUUUCACGGGUUGCUUUAGGCAGCGUAAUUGCAUCGUUGGCUCUUGUUGUAGCAGUAGGAUCACCACUUAUCCAUUGAUGACAAUUUGGAUUGUUUAUGCUCCGAAUUUUAUUGAUUGAUUUAUAUCAUCGCUGCAAUGCCCCUCAGGCAUUAUCUACUGAAAAGAAUAAAUCUGAAGAUCUACGAGAUUGCU